GGUUAAGCGACUAAGCGUACACGGUGGAUGCCCUGGCAGUCAGAGGCGAUGAAGGACGUGCUAAUCUGCGAUAAGCGUCGGUAAGGUGAUAUGAACCGUUAUAACCGGCGAUUUCCGAAUGGGGAAACCCAGUGUGUUUCGACACACUAUCAUUAACUGAAUCCAUAGGUUAAUGAGGCGAACCGGGGAACUGAAACAUCUAAGUACCCCGAGGAAAAGAAAUCAACCGAGAUUCCCCCAGUAGCGGCGAGCGAACGGGGAGCAGCCCAGAGCCUGAAUCAGUGUGUGUGUUAGUGGAAGCGUCUGGAAAGGCGCGCGAUACAGGGUGACAGCCCCGUACACAAAAAUGCACAUGCUGUGAGCUCGAUGAGUAGGGCGGGACACGUGGUAUCCUGUCUGAAUAUGGGGGACCAUCCUCCAAGGCUAAAUACUCCUGACUGACCGAUAGUGAACCAGUACCGUGAGGGAAAGGCGAAAAGAACCCCGGCGAGGGGAGUGAAAAAGAACCUGAAACCGUGUACGUACAAGCAGUGGGAGCCUCUUUAUGGGGUGACUGCGUACCUUUUGUAUAAUGGGUCAGCGACUUAUAUUCUGUAGCAAGGUUAACCGAAUAGGGGAGCCGAAGGGAAACCGAGUCUUAACUGGGCGUUAAGUUGCAGGGUAUAGACCCGAAACCCGGUGAUCUAGCCAUGGGCAGGUUGAAGGUUGGGUAACACUAACUGGAGGACCGAACCGACUAAUGUUGAAAAAUUAGCGGAUGACUUGUGGCUGGGGGUGAAAGGCCAAUCAAACCGGGAGAUAGCUGGUUCUCCCCGAAAGCUAUUUAGGUAGCGCCUCGUGAAUUCAUCUCCGGGGUAGAGCACUGUUUCGGCAAGGGGUCAUCCCGACUUACCAACCCGAUGCAAACUGCGAAUACCGGAGAAUGUUAUCACGGGAGACACACGGCGGGUGCUAACGUCCGUCGUGAAGAGGGAAACAACCCAGACCGCCAGCUAAGGUCCCAAAGUCAUGGUUAAGUGGGAAACGAUGUGGGAAGGCCCAGACAGCCAGGAUGUUGGCUUAGAAGCAGCCAUCAUUUAAAGAAAGCGUAAUAGCUCACUGGUCGAGUCGGCCUGCGCGGAAGAUGUAACGGGGCUAAACCAUGCACCGAAGCUGCGGCAGCGACGCUUAUGCGUUGUUGGGUAGGGGAGCGUUCUGUAAGCCUGUGAAGGUGUGCUGUGAGGCAUGCUGGAGGUAUCAGAAGUGCGAAUGCUGACAUAAGUAACGAUAAAGCGGGUGAAAAGCCCGCUCGCCGGAAGACCAAGGGUUCCUGUCCAACGUUAAUCGGGGCAGGGUGAGUCGACCCCUAAGGCGAGGCCGAAAGGCGUAGUCGAUGGGAAACAGGUUAAUAUUCCUGUACUUGGUGUUACUGCGAAGGGGGACGGAGAAGGCUAUGUUGGUAGGGCGACGGUUGUCCCGGUUUAAGCGUGUAGGCUGGUUUUCCAGGCAAAUCCGGAAAAUCAAGGCUGAGGCGUGAUGACGAGGCACUACGGUGCUGAAGCAACAAAUGCCCUGCUUCCAGGAAAAGCCUCUAAGCAUCAGGUAACAUCAAAUCGUACCCCAAACCGACACAGGUGGUCAGGUAGAGAAUACCAAGGCGCUUGAGAGAACUCGGGUGAAGGAACUAGGCAAAAUGGUGCCGUAACUUCGGGAGAAGGCACGCUGAUAUGUAGGUGAAGCGACUUGCUCGUGGAGCUGAAAUCAGUCGAAGAUACCAGCUGGCUGCAACUGUUUAUUAAAAACACAGCACUGUGCAAACACGAAAGUGGACGUAUACGGUGUGACGCCUGCCCGGUGCCGGAAGGUUAAUUGAUGGGGUCAGCGCAAGCGAAGCUCUUGAUCGAAGCCCCGGUAAACGGCGGUACCGUAACUAUAACGGUCCUAAGGUAGCGAAAUUCCUUGUCGGGUAAGUUCCGACCUGCACGAAUGGCGUAAUGAUGGUAAGGCUGUCUCCACCCGAGACUCAGUGAAAUUGAACUCGCUGUGAAGAUGCAGUGUACCCGCGGCAAGACGGAAAGACCCCGUGAACCUUUACUAUAGCUUGACACUGAACAUUGAGCCUUGAUGUGUAGGAUAGGUGGGAGGCUUAGAAGUGUGGACGCCAGUCUGCAUGGAGCCGACCUUGAAAUACCACCCUUUAAUGUUUGAUGUUCUAACGUUGACCCGUAAUCCGGGUUGCGGACAGUGUCUGGUGGGUAGUUUGACUGGGGCGGUCUCCUCCUAAAGAGUAACGGAGGAGCACGAAGGUUGGCUAAUCCUGGUCGGACAUCAGGAGGUUAGUGCAAUGGCAUAAGCCAGCUUGACUGCGAGCGUGACGGCGCGAGCAGGUGCGAAAGCAGGUCAUAGUGAUCCGGUGGUUCUGAAUGGAAGGGCCAUCGCUCAACGGAUAAAAGGUACUCCGGGGAUAACAGGCUGAUACCGCCCAAGAGUUCAUAUCGACGGCGGUGUUUGGCACCUCGAUGUCGGCUCAUCACAUCCUGGGGCUGAAGUAGGUCCCAAGGGUAUGGCUGUUCGCCAUUUAAAGUGGUACGCGAGCUGGGUUUAGAACGUCGUGAGACAGUUCGGUCCCUAUCUGCCGUGGGCGCUGGAGAACUGAGGGGGCUGCUCCUAGUACGAGAGGACCGGAGUGGACGCAUCACUGGUGUUCGGGUUGUCAUGCCAAUGGCACUGCCCGGUAGCUAAAUGCGGAAGAGAUAAGUGCUGAAAGCAUCUAAGCACGAAACUUGCCCCGAGAUGAGUUCUCCCUGACCCUUUAAGGGUCCUGAAGGAACGUUGAAGACGACGACGUUGAUAGGCCGGGUGUGUAAGCGCAGCGAUGCGUUGAGCUAACCGGUACUAAUGAACCGUGAGGCUUAACCUU
rnacentral:rRNA from 1 species